CCUACGGGGGGCAGCCGUGGGGAAUAUUGGGCAAUGGGCGCAAGCCUGACCCAGCAACGCCGCGUGAAGGAAGAAGGCCCUCGGGUUGUAAACUUCUUUUGUCAGGGACGAAGAAAGUGACGGUACCUGACGAAUAAGCCACGGCUAACUACGUGCCAGCAGCCGCGGUAAUACGUAGGUGGCAAGCGUUAUCCGGCUUUACUGGGUGUAAAGGGCGUGUAGGAGGGACUGCAAGUCAGAUGUGAAAACCAC
rnacentral:rRNA from 1 species